rnacentral:misc_RNA from 1 species
AUGGCAAAUCUCACAAGUAAUAUCACCCUUCUCGUUGCACCAGUGUUGAACACACUUUCGAUGUGCAUACUUGAGACUUCCACAACAAGCACAAGGACUCUCCAAAUUAUUCAAAGAAUCUUCAUCUUGACAAAUACGGCACUCUGCACCCCCAAUUAACGGCACCUCCUCAUUCCCUUCUUCUUCUUCCUCAACAGCCAAUUCCUUUUCCUUCAUCGUCUUCGAAUUCGAAGACGAAGCUCCAAUUCCUUCCACUACUUCCGUUGCCUUCUUCCCAUUUUCAAU